rnacentral:snRNA from 1 species
CGGCUCCCUCUGGUAGUUGUGUUACUAAAAUUGGAACGAUACAGAGAAGAUUAGCAUGGCCCCUGCGCAAGGAUGACACGCAAAUUUGUGAAGCGUUCCGCAUUUUC